UACGGAGGGUGCAAGCGUUAUCCGGAUUCACUGGGUUUAAAGGGUGCGUAGGCGGGUAAGUAAGUCCGUGGUGAAAUCUCUGAGCUUAACUCAGAAACUGCCGUGGAUACUAUCAGUCUUGAAUACCGUGGAGGUCAGUAGAAUAUGUCAUGUAGCGGUGAAAUGCUUAGAUAUGACAUAGAAUACCAAUUGCGAAGGCAGCUGGCUACACGAAUAUUGACACUCAGGCACGAAAGCGUGGGGAUCAAACAGG
rnacentral:rRNA from 1 species